rnacentral:rRNA from 1 species
CCCUUAGAUGUUCUGGGCAGCACGCGCGCUACAAUGGUCUUCGCAAACGGAUGCAUUCUCGAAGGAGAAUGCCAAUCUUGGAAUCUAUGCCUUGGUCGGGACAGUUGCUUGCAAUUUUUCGACUCGAACCAGGAAUUCCUUGUAAUCGUGAUUCAUCACAUCACGAUGAAUACGUCCCUGCCCUUUGUACACACCGCCCGUCGCUCCUACCGAUUGAAUGCUCAGGUGAGCCAUUCGGACUUUCAUCAUGCUGGUUUCCAGUUUUGAUGAAGGAAAGUCUUGCGAACCUUAUCAUUUAGAGGAAGGAGAAGUCGUAACA